rnacentral:rRNA from 1 species
AUGAGACCACUCAUUGGGAAGCUGGACAUGCUGCUGCUAGCUCCUCCUCGGGGAUGUUCCUCCAAGAAGGUCAUGGACAUGAUGCGCCUCCUCAGAGAUGACGUUGAAAAAAUAAACUCCUGCCUCAGUGAACUGUCAGAGGUGGAGGACCCUCCCCUGACAGCCAAGUGUUGGAUGAAUGAGGCGCGCAACCUGUCUUACGGCAUGGAGGAUUACAUCAACAGCUUAUUAUUCGUGCAGCCUGAAGAUCCCUCCAAGCUUGUUGCCAGCAACAUCAAGACGACCAGAUCACUCCGCAAAUCAUCCAGUAAUGUCAAGGCUCCCAAGAAUCAGCUUAUUAUAGCAGAAACGCUAUCAGAAUUCAGGAUGUAUAUCCAGGAGGCGAUUGAACGGCACCAGAGGCACAAUCUCCAAACGUGCAGCACCUUGAGGCAUAGGUUUGUGUCCCCUGGCCCUAUGCUCCUUCCAACGCCAUAUGAAGAGACUGCCGAUGUAGUAAUCGAUGGACGGAUGAACGAAUUCAUCAACUCACUGGCUAACGAUGGGGACCAGCAGCUCAAGGUGCUAUCUGUUCUCGGACCUGCAUGCCUCGGUAAAACUACACUUGCUAGAGUGUUGUACAGUAGACUUGGAAAGCAAUACCAUUGUCGAGUUUUCGUUCGGGUCUCCAAGAAACCUGAUAUGAAGAGAAUUUUCCGUGAGAUGCUGUCGCAGCUCCAGCGUCAGCAUUCCCUACAAGAUUGUAAGGAGAUUGACCUCAUUGACAAUAUCAAGACAUAUUUGCAAAACAAAAGGUAUUUAAUUAUUGUUGAUGAUGUAUGGGCUACAUCAGUAUGGGAUAUUAUUAAUCAUGCUUUUCCAAAGGGUAAUCAUGGCAGCAGAAUAAUAACAACUACACAGAUCGAAGACGUUGCAUUAACAUGUUGCUGUUAUCAGUCAGAGUAUGUUUUUGAGAUGAAACACCUAGAUGAUGAUCACUCUAGAAAACUUUUCUUUAACAGACUUUUUGGCUCUGAAAGUGAUUGUCCUGAGCAGUUCAAAGAGAUUCUAAAUGAAAUUAUUGAAAUAUGUGAUGGUUUGCCGCUAGCCAUAAUCAGCAUAGCUAGUCUUUUAGCAAGCCAGCCUGUCAUAUCAAUUGAUCUAUUGAAGUAUAUCCAUCAGACAUUAAUAUCUUGUUUCUCAGCAUCAGAAAGAAUGAGACAAGCACUGAACCUGGGCUUCAAUAAUCUUCCUCAUUAUUUGAAGACAUGCUUGUUGUAUCUUAUUAUGUAUCCAGAGGGCUACACAUUCUACAAUGAUGAUUUUGUGAAGCAAUGGAUGGCUGAAAGUUUUAUCCAUAGAACGGAAGGGCAAGACAUGGUGAAAGUUGCACAGAGCUAUCUCGAUCAACUUAUUGCCAGAGGAUUCAUCCAGCCUAUACGCAUCAACUACAACAAUGAGGUGGUGUCCUGUGCAAUUCAUGACAUGGUACAUGAUCUUAUUGCACACAAAUCUGCAGAAGAGAAUUUUAUUGUGGCAAUAGACUACACUCAAAAGAGUGUGUCACUUUCUCAUAAGGUUCGUCGACUAUCUCUCCUCUUUGGCACUGCAAGAUAUGCCAAGACACCAGCAAACAUCACAAAGUCCCAAGUUCGGUCACUUGCUUAUUUUGGAUUAUUGGAGUGUAUGCCUUGUAUUAAAGAGUUCAAACUUCUUCGUAUUCUAAACCUUCAAAUAUCUGGUAAUGCUGGCAAAGAUAACCCUGUAGACCUCACAGGGGUUCUAAAACUGCUUCAACUGAGAUAUUUGAAGAUUGGGUGUGGUAUCUGUAUAAAACUGCCAGCCGAUGGGCUACAAUGUUUGGAAACACUGGACAUUACAAAUGCAAUAGUCCUUGAUAAAGAAUGUGGUAUCCAUCUCCCACGGUUGUUGCACCUCAGUCUUCCUUUUGGUACCAGUCUGCUGGAUUGGAUUUGCUUUCGCAAGGGCACUGGCAGGCUGAACUACCUGGAGGAUAUUCAUCUUACCAGUCAUUUUACAGCUGCAUAUGAUCUGCAGAGAUACAUGGAAGCUCUGAGUCCUUUAAUCGGAGGACAUGGCAACCUGAGGACUGUAGUAUUGGCUCAUGGCUCAACGGUAAAAAAUACUGUGGUUCGUGGAGCUCCAGUAGUAAUCACUUCUUUGGAUGACUUGGCACCUCCACCCCUUCUCCAGAGAUUUGAAUUCUCGCUUCACAGAAGCUGCAUAUUCUCACGAAUACCUCCAUGGGUUAAAAAACACGAGAACCUAAGCAUUUUGAAGAUUGCAGUGAAGGAACUUCAGAUGAUUUGUGUUGGCAUUCUCAGAGGAUUGCCUGCCCUUACUGCUCUGUCGCUGUACGUGGAGACGGCGCCCGUUGACAAGAUCAUCCUUGACAUGGUGGGGUUCUCAGUUCUCAAGUACUUCAAGUUGAGGUUCCUGACUGGUAUAGCUUGGCUAAAAUUUGAGGAGGAUUCCAUGCCUAAUCUCUCGAAGCUCAAGCUAGUUUUCAAUGCCAUCCCCCAGAUCGAUGAAUAUGAACAUGGUAUUAUCAGCAUCGGCCAUAUGCCAGGCCUUAGAGAUAUCACUGUGAGAUUUGGGGGUAUUGCUGUUGGUUCUGAGUAUGACUUAGUUAUUAAUCAUCCACGCAAUCCUAUGAUCAACAAGCAAUCGACGGUUUAUAGAUCCUAUAGUGACGAAAGUGGAAAGCAGAAACAACUGGCAUAUGAGAUUCUGGAAGAAGAACGAGAUGAGAUUGUGGAGGCAGAAAGAGAUGAGACUGUGGACAAAGAAAGAGCUGAAUACUAUAAGGAAUUGAGUAGCCCAGCCGAUCAAAGGAUUUCAAGAUUGCCAGAGUCCUUUUCUGGGCUGCAUGAUCCAGUAAUAGGCAAAGUGCGGAGGAUGGUGUUAAGGGUUGCUCACAGCUCCGAAAUCGGAGCUCGUCUCCGCGGCGAGAAGUGCAAGAGGAAGAUUCUGUCAACUGUUUCCAAGCUGGAUGGACUCGAGUCCAUCGACAUCCAGCACGACCAGGACUAUGGCGGGUACAAGCUGACGGUGGUCGGCACCGUGGACCCGUUGCGAAUCGUCAAGGUGCUGAAGAAGCGGGGCUUCGCAGCGCAUGUCGUCGGCAUCGAGAAGGGACGCAAAAAGCUGACCCCCCACUGCGGCUACGGCUACGGCUACUACGCGGGCAUGCCAGCCGCAGCCGGAGGCCCGCCGCCGCCGCCAUACAACGACGCGCCUGUGCACCAAGGAUCAUGCAACACCCAGUAG